rnacentral:rRNA from 1 species
UACGAAGGAUGCGAGCGUUAUCCGGAUUUAUUGGGUUUAAAGGGUGCGUAGGCGGCCUUAUAAGUCAGUGGUGAAAUCCUAUCGCUUAACGAUAGACGUGCCAUUGAUACUGUAGGGCUUGAGUACAGAUGCCGUUGGCGGAAUGUGUCAUGUAGCGGUGAAAUGCAUAGAUAUGACACAGAACACCAUUGCGAAGGCAGCUGACGAAACUGUAACUGACGCUGAUGCACGAAAGCGUGGGAUCAAACAGG